AGCUAACAUGAAGGACUAACUAAUAAUAAUAAGAAGUCAUAUUGAUAUCUCUGACUGAGAAACAAAACUCUAAAGUCGUGUCCUUUAAUGGUGACUACGGAGGUUAGCACCGCCGUCUCCGGCAUGAAACCAACGUCUCCGCCUCCAGAAUCAGACGGGCAUACUGAUUUUCUAGACAACGAUAGGCUAAAGACAACGUUUUCAAGUGGAAGUCUUGAUUUUGAUGACUGGACUUUGUUAAUCUCCGAAGUAGAGACUUCGUUCCCAGAUGAUACUGAGAAGCUGUGUUUAGUUUACGAUGCUUUCUUGUUGGAAUAUCCUUUGUGCCAUGGCUAUUGGAGGAAGUAUGCUUACCAUAAGAUACAGUUAUGCACUCUAGACGAUGCUGUUGACGUUUUCGAGCGAGCAAUACAAGCAUAUACUUAUUCUGUAGCUGUAUGGCUCGACUAUUGCACUUUCGCUGUUGCUGCCUAUGAAGAUCCUCAUGAUGUUUGUAGAUUAUUUGAGAGGGGGCUCUCAUUUGUUGGGAAAGAUUAUUCUUGCUGCGCUCUCUGGGACAAAUACAUAGAGUUUCUCUUGAUUAAGAAGCAAUGGAGUUCACUGGCACACGUAUAUCUCCGGACCCUGAGAUAUCCAUCCAAAAAGUUGGAUUUUUAUUACAACAACUUCAGAAAGAUUGCAGCUUCUUUGAAAGAGAAGAUUAAAUGUGGAAUAGAUGUUAACGGAGACCUUUCUUCAGACCCAAUGGAAGAAGAUUUGGUCCCUACGCCUCACAGUGAUGAGGAGAUCUCUGUUGUUAUAAGAGACUUGAUGGGUCCUUCCUCUAGCUUGGCUGUGGCAAAAGCACUGCAUGCAUAUUUGUCAAUUGGGGAGCAGUUCUAUCAAGAUUCAGAGCAAUUGAAGGAAAAAAUAAGUUGCUUUGAGACGCAAAUCCGCAGGCCUUAUUUUCAUGUAAAGCCGUUGGACACUAAUCAGCUUGACAAUUGGCAUAAGUAUCUGAGCUUUGCAGAAACAUAUGGGGACUUUGAUUGGGCUAUUAAGCUUUAUGAGAGAUGCUUAAUACCUUGCGCUAAUUACACCGAGUUCUGGUUCCGCUAUGUGGACUUUGUUGAAAGCAAUGGUGGAAGGGAGCUAGCAAACUUUGCAUUGGCUCGAGCAUCACAAACUUUUGUCAAGAAUGAAUCUGCUGUCCAUCUAUUUAAUGCACGGUUCAAGGAACACGUUGGAGAUGCAUCUGCCGCUUCUGUUGCUCUGUCUCAAUGUGGCGAGGAGCUUGGUGUUGGUUUUGUUGAAAAUGUAACUAAGAAGGCUAACAUGGAGAAGCGUCUGGGUAAUUUUGAAGCGGCUUAUACUACAUACAGGGAGGCUCUGAAGAAAGCAUUCGUUGGAAAAGAAAACGUAGAAACCACCGCACUGUUGUAUGUUCAAUUUUCUCGUCUCAAGUACAUGAUAACAAACAGUGCUGAUGAGGCAGCACAGAUUCUGAUAGAGGGCAAUGAGAAAGUUCCUCACUGCAAAUUACUUCUAGAGGAGCUUAUAAGACUCAUGAUGAUGCAUGGAGGGUCUCGACAAAUGGAUUUGUUAGAUCCUAUCAUAGAUAAAGAAAUAUCUCAUCAGGCUGAUUCCUCUGGUGGUCUUAGCGCAGAGGACAAGGAGAACAUAUCAAAUUUAUACAUGGAGUUCAUUGACCUCUCUGGAACCAUACAUGAUGUGAGGAAGGCUUUGGGUCGACACAUUAAAUUAUUCCCACAUUCUGCCAAAGCGAAGUUGCAUGAGUCCCGUCCUUUAGGGAAUUCGCUCAGAGAGUUGAUUCAACGAAGAGAAAAGACUCGUGAGUGCUUGAAUCAGGACCUAUCAACAAACAAAGGCACUGGCAGCAAAGUUGUUUCGCCACUAGAAGAAAAGAAAGACUUGCCUCUGAACUCUGAUGCUGUGCUGUCUGACUAUAUAAACACCGAGCCUAAUAUGGAGUCUCACGUUGAAGGAACCAAUAAUGUUGCAGAUAGGGAGAAACUCUGCGAGUCACAGAGUGAUCUGUCUACGGGACUAAAGUCGGAUGAAGAUGGUGAACGCUCUCGCGAAGUAAGCCUACCAAUACAAGCCACGCCAGAACCUGGUUUUGUCGCUAAACAAGCUCACUUCUCUUCCAGCUCAGUAGAUACUGUGAAAUCUGAUGCUAUAGAGAUCCAACCUAGUGGCUUUAGAAGUCCCCAAAGUCACCACAACCAAGAGUUUAUCAGGCAAGCUAAUCGAAACAGGUUCCAGAGAAGAGAUUUUAACCAGAAUCAUAGAGAUCCCAAACCUCGCUCGCAGGAGAGACCUCCCCAGAUGUCAUAUUCUAGGCAGCAGAUGGCUGUUGCUCCUCGAGACAAUCCCUCAGUCUCACAGAGUCUGCAGAACCAGUCUCAGUACUCUGCGUCCCAGCUGCAUCCCAUGGCUCAGCCAUCCUAUGCUUAUCCUCAAGCCCAGAUUCCUGGACAGCACAUGAGUGUAGCCUCUUCUGACAAUCCAGCAGCAGCAGUGCAAAGCUCAUUCUCACAGAUUCCGCAGAACCAAUAUCAAGCCUCUGCAGCUCAGGUUCAACCAUCCUUUGCUUAUCCUCAGUCUCAGGUUCCUCAGCAUCCAGUGCAAAGUAAUGACCAACUAGAAGGUCAGAUGCAGAGCAACGAAGCUUACAACCAGAUGUGGCAACAAUAUUACUAUUACAAUUACUACUACCAACAACAACAACAGCAACAGCUUGUGUCUGAACAACCACAACCAUAUCAGAAUCCUCACCCGCAACUAGAUCCGAAUCUUGUCGCAAAACAGUAUCAAGCUCAAGCUGGAACUCAGCACCCACAGCAACAGAGCCAUGAACCACAAAACGAACAGCAAAUUCAAUACCAGCAACAACAACAACAAGAGUGGUUUCAACAGCAGCAACAAUGGCAACAACAACAGGAACAGUAUCAUCUCUAUCUUCAGCAGCAACAACAUUUGCAAGGAGAAGCAAAAGGUGAUGAACAGAGACCCUCCUCUGUGCCACAAAGGGACAGUGAUGUUCAAAAGAGUGGAGAAUCUGGAGGACGUGAAGUAGAACACUCUUCUGACACUUCCAUCACCUCCAUAUGAGUUUCAUGAAAGUCUUUAAUUGUUGCAGUUCAUUUAAUAUUUUUAAGUACAUUUCCGUAAUUUUUAAAAUUUAGAAGAAGAAUCUUAAGUCGAAAGUUAUUAAAAGUUGAAGGGCUUGGACACGCGUCAAAUUACGUGUGAGAGUAUUCCAGCUGGGGUUAUAGUAAACACGUGUAGAUUUGGUAUUGGAGUAGAAGCGCCCACCAAAGGAACAAUUCGUAGCCGUCGAUUGGAUCCAAUAGGAGCCGUCAUAAGUCUGUAUUGACCGUUCGUGGAAGUUUUGCGAGAGAGAGAGAAAGAAACCCAGAGAGAGAGAGAGACCCCUCCUCAAGUAGUAGAGAAAGAGACCACAAAUCAAUUAAAAAACAAAACAAAAGAAGAAGAAGAAGAAGAGAAAGCUGUCUCUCUCUCCUGUUUCUCUCUCUCUCUCAAUGAUUAUUCCUUAUUAAUUGUGCUGGAGAAAGAGUUUUAAUUUCUUAAUUUUUCACUUGUCUAUGCAUAUGUUGUUGGCCUUCUUACACAUAAACGUGCUCAACCCGAGGUCGCUAUAAUUCUGAGAUAGAGAGCCAAUGCCAUAUAUAGACAUGAAGAGCAAAACAAGCAAGCCUCUUGGUGUCGUC